AGGUUCAGUUGGUGAGCGGGAACACCAAGGUUUUCAUACAAAGGUAGCUCUCUGGCUCCUCACUGCCCAAUUCUUGAAUAGCCCCAGAAAAGUAGCCUGAUAAUUAGUAGUCACUGACUUUUAAUGAUCUGAUCUCAUUCUAAUGGCACAACCCCAAAAUCUCAGGCAAGACCAGCAAUUCUCACCCCUCUGUCUUCUUUUAAGUAUUGAAACAAGGGCUGACGAGAUGGAAGCACUCCUGGAAGCCUGACAAAACUUCCACAUAUGAGCUUGAUGACUCAUAAGGGCACCAUACCAAAGACCAAGAACUGGCCGGGCGCAGUGGCUCACACCUCUAAUCCCAGCACUUUGGGAGGCUGAGGCAGGUGGAUCACCUGAGAGCUCCACACAGUCCUACAGUGUUCCACCAUGUCAAAUCAGGCCUUCAUUUUGAACUUGGAAAUCUCCCCACUUGCAGGCAGUGGCACUGCCAGCAAGCCACAGGUAAACCACUGGAUCUACUAUGGAAAAGUGUAUGAGUAAUGCCCACCUAAUAUAGAAGAACUCGUCAUAGCUCUGAGGCAGCAACAACUGACGACUUGCUUUUACAUAAACACUAGGAAGAAAGGCAUGGAAUCGAGUGUUUUGAGAGCUGAAUUACAUCAAUAUUUGCUUUUCAGAAAAUCUAAAAUUAUUUCAAUGCACAAAAGGUACAUACUGAAUGUAAUUAUAACUCUUCAGAAAAAUCAAUCUCUUUCUCUUUUUAAACCUACAUAAAAAUAAAUUUUCUGACUAUUUUACCUUUGGAUUAUUCUCUCUAAUCAACAGUCUGAUUUAGAAUAAUGCAAGAAAGUAACGCCUUAGUGUCUUAGGACCAUUUAUUAAUUCCAGGUAUACCACCAGAAUUAGUACAACAAACAAAUACGAAUUCUACUUUCCAAUCUUUAAAAUAAGAAUCAUGAAAAGAAGUGUGUGGCUUACAACUGCAUGUUACUUAUAGCAGCUCUGAGUAUGGUGCU